GACGAACGCUGGCGGCGUGCUUAACACAUGCAAGUCGAACGGAGCUGUUUAUUUCGGUAAAUAGCUUAGUGGCAAACGGGUGAGUAACGCGUAGGCAACCUGCCCUUAGGAUGGGGACAACGGCCCGAAAGGACCGCUAAUACCGAAUGCACUCUAACUUCCGCAUGGAAGAAAGAGGAAAGAUGGUGCAAGCCAUCGCCGAAGGAAGGGCCUGCGUCUGAUUAGCCAGUUGGUGAGGUAACGGCUCACCAAAGCGACGAUCAGUAGCCGGUCUGAGAGGAUGAACGGCCACAAUGGGACUGAGACACGGCCCAUACUCCUACGGGAGGCAGCAGUGGGGAAUCUUCCGCAAUGGGCGAAAGCCUGACGGAGCAACGCCGCGUGAGUGAAGAAGGUCUUCGGAUCGUAAAGCUCUGUUGUUGGGGACGAAAGGAAAAGGGAGGAAAUGCCCUUUUUAAGACGGUACCCGACGAGCAAGCCACGCA
rnacentral:rRNA from 1 species